rnacentral:rRNA from 1 species
UACGUAGGGGGCUAGCGUUGUCCGGAUUUAUUGGGCGUAAAGAGCGUGUAGGCGGCCGGGUAAGUCCGGUGUGAAAACUCGAGGCUCAACCUCGAGACGUCGGUGGAAACCGCAUGGCUAGAGUCCGGAAGAGGAGAGUGGAAUUCCCGGUGUAGCGGUGAAAUGCGCAGAUAUCAGGAGGAACACCGGUGGCGAAGGCGGAUCUCUGGGCCUGUCCUGACGCUGAGGCGCGAAAGCUAGGGGAGCGAACAGG